rnacentral:rRNA from 1 species
UACGUAGGGACCAAGCGUUGUUCGGAUUUACUGGGCGUAAAGGGCGCGUAGGCGGCGACUCAAGUCAGAUGUGAAAGUCCUGGGCUUAACCUGGGGACUGCAUUUGAUACUGGGUUGCUUGAAUUCGGGAGAGGAUAGCGGAAUUCCCAGUGUAGAGGUGAGAUUCGUAGAUAUUGGGAAGAACACCGGUGGCGAAGGCGGCUAUCUGGACCGACAUUGACGCUGAGGCGCGAAAGCGUGGGGAGCAAACAGG